rnacentral:lncRNA from 1 species
CUCUCUCUGCCAUGUGAGGACAAAGGAGAAGCUGGCAGUCUGCAGCCCAGAAAAGGGUUCUUACUGGAAAUGACCAUGCUGGCACCUUGAUCUCAUACUUCUAGUCUCCAAAACUGAAGCCAGAAUGGACUGAAUGUCACAGCCUUUAUAACCCACACUGUGGCCGCAAGAAGAGAUUCAAAGAAAAGAAGAUCCUCCCUGCCAUUCCUCAGUGGCUGAAGUGCGUGGCCAGUCAUCAUUCGCUGAGCCCUUACUAGUAAGAUACUGAGAAUCCGACAGGUUAAAUUACUUCAAAAUCAAACAAAAAAAAUCGUAGAACUGGGAUUUAACCCUCAAAGCGUCAAUUCUGAAGUUAAAGCUUUACCCCAGGGCCUUAAGACACAGGAACUAGCAUCAGAAAUGUCUCAAAAACAUGAUGCUAUUUGGUUUCUACGUGCUUUAACUCAGCCCACAUCAGCAGCCUCUGUUCUGGAGCAGAAA